AACGAACGCUGGCGGCAGGCUUAACACAUGCAAGUCGAACGCCCCGCAAGGGGAGUGGCAGACGGGUGAGUAACGCGUGGGAACGUGCCCUUCGCUUCGGAAUAGCACCGGGAAACUGGGAGUAAUACCGAAUACGCCGUAUUGGGAAAGAUUUAUCGGCGAAGGAUCGGCCCGCGUUGGAUUAGCUAGUUGGAGGUGUAAGGGACCCCCAAGGCUACGAUCCAUAGCUGGUCUGAGAGGAUGAUCAGCCACACUGGGACUGAGACACGGCCCAGACUCCUACGGGAGGCAGCAGUGGGGAAUCUUGGACAAUGGGCGCAAGCCUGAUCCAGCCAUGCCGCGUGAGUGAAGAAGGCCUUAGGGUUGUAAAACUCUUUCGCCGGAGAAGAUAAUGCCGGUAUCCGGAGAAGAAGCCCCGGCUAACUUCGUGCCAGCAGCCGCCGUAAUAC
rnacentral:rRNA from 1 species